GUGCCAGCAGCCGCGGUAAUACGGAGGGUCCGAGCGUUAAUCGGAAUUACUGGGCGUAAAGCGUGCGCAGGCGGUUUGUUAAGCGAGAUGUGAAAGCCCUGGGCUCAACCUAGGAAUAGCAUUUCGAACUGGCGAACUAGAGUCUUGUAGAGGGGGGGUAGAAUUCCAGGUGUAGCGGUGAAAUGCGUAGAGAUCUGGAGGAAUACCGGUGGCGAAGGCGGCCCCCUGGACAAAGACUGACGCUCAUGCACGAAAGCGUGGGGAGCAAACAGGAUUAGAUACCCUGGUAGUCC
rnacentral:rRNA from 1 species